UUUUAGGGCCAAUCCUGUGGUAUAUGGAAACUCCCAGGCUAGGGGUCGAAUCAGAGCUAUAGUUGCUGGCCUACACCACAGCCACCACAAUACAGGAUCCAAGCCACAUCUGUGAUCUACACCACAGCUCACGGUAACAUCAGACCCUUAACCCACUGAGCAAGGCCAAGGAUUGAACCCGCAUCCUCAUAGACACUAGUCAGGUUCGUUACCACUGAGCCACUUGACGGGAACUCCAACCAGUGACUUUCUUUUGACUUGUUCACAAACCAAAUAUGUCAGUGUUAUUGCCUCAAGAAGUAAAGCAAUUUAAACCACCUUAUUAGUGUGAAAUCUGUGGAGAAAAUUCCACACCAUUGAAACACACUGUCUGUUAAAUCAGAGAAAAGACAUUUCAACUCCCCCUUGAUAUAUGAGAAUCAGCACUAAUGAAGAAUCAAGAGCAAAUUCUUUUAUGAUAAGCUUUUUUUCAGGAGUGAUUAAGAUGUUUUAACUUAUUUGGUUAGAAUAAAACAAGCAAAAUUUAAAGGGAAACCCUGAUUUGGAGGUCAACUUAAUUAUGGUACUGGCAUGAAUAUUUGAAUCUUUCUGUUCCCAGAAACUCAAAUGUUUCUUGUUUCUUUUCUUAAUUUUCUCAUUAUCAAGAUGGGACCAGUGUGGAAACCUUAAUGCUUACAAAGGGCAUUUUUUUAUUUCAAUUUGACCACCAGGUUCACAAAAGAUGGAUGUAUCUGGGCUGCUGAGUGGCCCCAACCAAUACUACUCCACUGAUAAAUACCCUCAGCAAAGAGGCAACUGGCCGGGCUUGCAGGAAUCAGUGCCGCUAAGCCAGUUGAAGUUUUAUUUCCCUGUCUUAGCUUGAGCUGCUAUAACAAAAGACUGUAGGAAUCCCCUUGAGGCUCAGUGGGUUAAGGAUCCAGCCUUGUCACUGUUGUGGCUCUGGUCACUGCUGUGGCACAGGUUCGAUCCCUGGCCCAGGUACUUCUGCAUGCUGCAGGUGGGGCCAGAAAAAAAUAAAAUAAACACCAUUAACCAGCCAGCAGAUUCAGUUCUUGGUGAGGGCCCUCAUCCUGGCUUGUAAACACCUUCCUUCUGUGUGAGCUCAUACAGCCUUUCCUUGGUAUGGGCAUAGGGGAGAUCGAGCUCCUUCCUGCCCCUUUCUCUUAUAAGGGCACAAAAUCUCUCUUAGGUAAAUACAAGGGCAGGACCCCCAUCACGGAGCCCCACCCCCAUGACCUCAUCUCAAUCUAUUACCUUCCAGAGGUCCCACCUCCAAAUACCAUCACCUGGGAGCUUAGGGGCAGGCGAGGGGCAAAAACAUUCAGCCCCUAACAUUCCCGGAAUAACAUUUUUAACAUCUUUUCAUUCGACUUCUUGAAAAUGGAAUUCAUGCCUUCUCAAAGCAGCUCUCUCUACUGCCCACUGGGUCUAAGUUCCACCACGUUCUAAAGUCUCAGCAUUUGUGUCUCGUCUCCAAAAUACUCAUUUACAUCUGUCCUUUUUCAAAAUAAAUGUCCUUCUGUCUUCUUCGUCUGUGGGUGUGGGCUCCCAGGCAAGAAUCCUGACUUUUUGCAGCAGAGUAAGUAAAGAGGGGGGAGGAGGGGAAGGAGAAUAAAACAGGAGACUUUGGUUUCCUUCCUCCUGCCCACUGCCCUCCACACACUGCCAGCAUCAUCUAUUAUGGAUAAAGCCCAGCCGAUGGGGCUCUCGUGUCUUCAGGGAAGACAGAAGGCCACAGAAAUGGAGACUUCCCUGCUUCCUGGUCCCCGGCUGCACAGAGACCACUAUGGGAAAGCACUCUGUGCUCAGGGAUGAGCAUGAGUCUGGAACUUUAUCAUCACCUCCAUUCUUCCAGGUAGCCCAUUCUCAAAUGGCAAAAGCCAGGAGAUUCUACACCAACUGCUUCCGGUGUUUUUCUAAGCAAGUUUUUGUCAUUAUUACAUAAGCAUCACAUUCAGAAACGUAUGCAAACCCAUGAAUUUUCACAGUGAACCAUGUAAACACCAGUCAGAUAAAAAUUACCAGUACUCCAGGGCCCCAACCAGCCACCCAAACCUCCUUAAUACCAAAGGUAACUGCUAGCUUAACUUAUAAAAUCAUAAACGAAUUUCCUUGUACUUGAACUUAUAAAUUACAGGAGGUGAUCUCCUGUGUCUUCUUUUACUUCUACCACUCAAUUAUAUGACUGAGAUUCAUCUAUGUUGUUUCCUGGAUAAAACAGCAUCUUUUCAGGGCUGUUUAGUAUUCUAUUACAUGCAUAUAAGAUAGUUAUCCAUUCCAUUUUUUAUAAACUUUGCAUUUUCUUAGUUUUGUUUGGCUAUCACACAGAUUGCUACUGUGGACAUUUACAUGGAUGGAUGGAUGGAGAGAUGAUAAAGGGAUAUACACACACAUAUAUACACAUAUGCAUGUAUGUGUAUGUAUAUAAAUGUGUAUGUCUGUGUAUAUCUGUAUAUCUUUGGGGGUGGAUAUGUAAUACAUAUCUGUUGAGUUUCUAUUUAGGAGUGGAAUUACUGGAUCAUGGAGCAUGCUGAUAUUCAGCUUUGCAGCUGAAGAGUACUGAAAAGUAAGUAUGUGAGUACUCCUUUGAUUCCACAUCUUUGCCAACUAUUAAUAUUAUUGUGCUUUUAAUUUUGUUUUGUUUUGGUUUUG
rnacentral:lncRNA from 1 species